rnacentral:pre_miRNA from 1 species
GAUUUCAAUUGAAAAAGUCAUCAACAACAAAGUUGAAUAACUCAUCAAGAUCUAAAACUUUUAUUUUUGUUAUUUCUUCAUCCGACGAAAUGUUAGUAAUAUUAUUCACAAAUUUUACAUAUAUGUGUUAUAGUUUAUAAAACUAGAUAAGAGAUAUGUCAAUUUUGUGAACAAUGUUACUAUCACUUUGUCGUAUGAAGAAAUGACCAAAAUAAAAGUUUUAGAUCUUGAUGAGUUAUUCAACUUUGUUGUUGAUGACUUUUUCAGUUGAUAUC